GACGAACGCUGGCGGCGUGCUUAACACAUGCAAGUCGAACGAGUGGCGAACGGGAGAGUAACGCGUAGGUAACUACUUAUCAGAGGGGGAUAACUAUUGGAAACGAUAGCCAAUACCGCAUAUUAGUAGAUGGACCUGCGUUGUAUUAGCUAGUAGGUAGGGUAAUGGCCUACCUAGGUAACGAAACAUAGCCGACCUGCGAGGGUGAUCGGCCACACUGGGACUUAGACACGGCCCAGACUCCUACGGUAGGCAGCAGUAGUGAAGCUUCGGGAAUGGGGGGAACCCUGACCGAGCAACGCCGCGGGAGUGAAGAAGGUUUUCGGAUCGUAUAGCUCUGUUGUUAAGGAAGCGGUACUUAACCAGAAAGGGAUGGCUAACUACGUGCCAGCAGCCGCGGUAAUUC
rnacentral:rRNA from 1 species